rnacentral:rRNA from 1 species
GUCUACAGCCAUGGCAUCCUGAACACGCCCAAUCCUGUCUGAUCUUGGAAGCUAAGCAGGGUCGAGCCUGGUUAGUACUUGGAUGAGAGACCACCUAGGGAGACAGGGUGCUGUAGGUG